rnacentral:misc_RNA from 1 species
UCCCAUUACAAGCUUUGACUUUAAGGUUGGUGGUAACAGGAGAGUGAAGUAGCAGCAGUAGCUCUUUACUUGCGGAAUGAAGGAGAUGAAGUUGUUAUGGUAGCAGCGAGGGUAGGGGGNNNNNNNNNNUGAAGCCGCAAAAACCCACUCCUCACAUUUCUCUUAUUUCUUAAUUCUCUAUUUCCUCUCUCAAUAUCAGAUUACAUUAGAUUAGGGUGGCUUGGUUUCAGAUUAUAGUUAGAUCAGAUUAUCUCUAGACUGCGAUAAACACUCUUCUCUCUCUCUCUCUCUCUCUCUCUNNNNNNNNUUCCUGCAAAACCAGAAGCUGACACCAUGUAGAUUUUACUCCCAACAAAAAUAAAAGAGAGAGGGACAGAGAAAAAGAAACGCCACAAAGAAAAGAGACUUGGAAGAAAGAGAAAG